CCGAAUCGUGCGCAGUGGAAUUUCGAGUGCACAGCAAACGUUGUCGGCAUUUGUCUUUUACUUUUUAUAGCUGCUUAAGCUUUUUUAAGUUCCUCGCGACACGGAUACUUAAACAGCAACCUAGGCUCACCCCCUCUCCCCCUGAAUAACACGCAAGCAGUAGCAUCACUCAGGUCACUGACCUAACCGCAGUACUCUACUCUACUGUACCAAUCGUGCGCACGGGGAGAGGCAGGAGAGGUAGCUACCUCCCUUGCGAGAUUUUCCGGUGAAAUAUUUUUCGAAAAAACAUGUUACAUGUGUCAUGUAUACGAAUUUAUUUUAAAUAUUAAAUCCUAAC